rnacentral:rRNA from 1 species
UACGUAGGGGGCGAGCGUUGUUCGGAUUCAUUGGGCGUAAAGGGUGCGUAGGUGGCGCUGUAAGUCGGGUGUGAAAUCCUGAGGCUUAACCUCGGAACUGCAUUCGAUACUGCGGCGCUUGAGGACUGGAGAGGAGACUGGAAUUCAUGGUGUAGCAGUGAAAUGCGUAGAGAUCAUGAGGAAGACCAGUGGCGAAGGCGGGUCUCUGGACAGUUCCUGACACUGAGGCACGAAGGCCAGGGGAGCAAACGGG